AAUAUACACAGCAGAGAGAAGGGGGAGUACAAGGUAGCAUAGACCAACCACAAGAUAGCCAUAUCUACUGUCGGUAUUGACAGACUAUUCACUGGCUAUCCGUUUUGAAAACAACAACAAAGGGAAAUCAAAAUGGAAGAGGAAAGCUGAGUAAAGACGGGAAAAGACAGCUGCCAGUCUUCAAUAGCGUCCCGCUGCAGAGCUCCAGGCUGUGGCCCACCUCCGGAGCUCGGACUCAUGGUGGAACAUCACCUGAGUGCUCAGGGUCUGGCCGGAAGUCGUCGGUGGAACCGCGGGCCAGCCAGUCGCGGGUGCCCCUGACUGCCCACUCACAGCCAUGCCUGACAUCUGCUGGGUCAUCUGAGUGAGAGGAGGAAGUCAGUGUUACAACUCAUCAGAGCUCAAAUAGACAGCUCAUCCCAGAGGCAGACUCCCAUGCCUCCAUCUCUCGCUUUUCACCUUCGACUCUGCUCUGAAAGGCUUCCGGCUCCCCCUGCCCUCUCCACCCUCUCCACCCUCCCACCACUCCCCACUUCUCUGUUCACCGCCAAGGAAAUGAGAUCCAAAAAGAAUUUUAAACUGAACGCAGAAGCUGUGCCUACAAUACUGGCGAGACCCCAGCCAGCACAAGCCAGCAGCCCGACUCAAACACGUCCGCCGGUGCAGAGUCCUCCACCAAAGAGACAACGAAAUGCAUUCGCCAAAAGGGAGAGAGCAAAGGUACUGUAUAUGUCUGAGGUAUACCUGGCUCAUGUUCCACUGUCCUGGCUGCUGUCCUGGCUGCAUGCUGUACAUGUUCUGGCCUUGGUUGGCUAACAUCACGCCCUGCUGAUGCAUGCCCAUGUAGCUGCCGUUGGGCAGUGCCAUCCCCGACAUCAUGGCCCCCCCGCCCAUCAUGGUGGUGGGUGGGACGCCUCCACCCAUCCCUGGAGCGAAACCCUGCGGAGUGAACUGCAUCUGAGGCUGGCCCACGUACAUUCCUGCUGGAGCAAAAAACGCACUGAGUUCUUCAUGUUAACUUCCCAACUACUGAGCAUAUUUUUUUUAACUCAACAUAAGAGAGAGCAGAGCUGUUUUCCAGUAUCUGCUUUUGCUUUGAUUCACUACAAGAUAUGUGAAAAUAAUUAAUUUCAAGAUUAAAUAGUGACUCUUUAAAAUCCAAAUGUAAGAACUCUUAAUAGUGUCAAACUUCCACAUCAGAGCUAAAUAUUCAAAACACUUUAAAACACUAAGUGUGGCUACUAAAGCCAUUCCCGCAGAUUUAAUUUGGGGAUUCACAGGUAAAAACUUUGCGUUAGAAGAGUAAACAUUGAGACUUCUUUCAAUAAGAUAAAAACUGAACAUAAACGUUGAACUAAAAGCUGCAAAACAAACAUUUACUGCUGCUGCUUAAUUAAAAGCAUUCAACUGGCAAACAUCGGGGUGGCUUUUAUUGUGAAGCAGCCAUAGGGGAUGCAAUGAAUUUGGCACUCAUUGGGUCAACCAGGACUUCAAAAUAAACCUCAACGAUUGUAACUUUAAACUCACAACUAACUAGACAAACCUAAUUAUAAGUUUGCUUGACUGGGCUUUCAACACACCAAACAGCUGAAACACUUUUUAUUAUUGCUUCUAAAGAUUAAUGUGAAGCCGCAGAAUAUCAUAUUUUCAUGAGAAUAUAUCAUCUAUCAGUACAUUACCCAUCAGCACUGCAUGAGACCACUGUGGGAAUGUGAUGAGUGGCAAAAUAAAACACACAUUUAUGUGAAAAGUGACCUGAGGGAGUCAAAAGGAGACAACUUCUUUAAAAGGACAAAAUAUCAUAGUUCGCUGUGUUGACUGCAUGUACAACAUGUUAGAGACUUCCAGCGGAUACUGAAUUAAAGACUCUUUUCGCAGUUCACAUCAAGUCUCAAAGUUUUGAAAUCCUCAACUAGUACAGAUCAAAGUGGAAUUCCAUAAAGGAUCCAGGGCGACGUGAUAGUCGAGUGGUUAGGGCGUGGUAUAAUUAGCUGAAAAUCGUAAUCAAAUUUACACUUAACCUGAUGGAAAAUGUAAUAAACCCCAAUAAUGUAAUAACUCGACCAAGAAUGUAAUAAAGUGGGGGCAAUUUAGUAAAAGUCAAAACAUUUCUACUUUUAAAUGUUCUUCAUUUUUAAGUUAAGUCUUUUUCUUCAUUCCACAUUCGAUUGUAAAGCCUUUUUGAAUGCAGACACUUCAUAAGAUCAGCGUGGCGAAGGAAACACUUCAUUCACUAAGAAUCACUGACGGAUUGAAUUGACUGUUGCCUUCUUUGCUCGCUUGUGUAAUGUGAGCCAUAUUCUGAUAGAGUUAAAGAUCCUCUCUGGUCUAAUGGACGAUCCCUGCACAACGACCAAUCAGCAUGGGGUAUGGGCAGGUUAAUUUUCCAUUGAUAGGGAUUUUACUUUAUUGCAUCCUUGUCUGAUAAACAACAUACCACUUGGCACCAGUUGAACAUUUCUAAAUUCUACAUAAAGCCUAGAGUUUACAUUUUCCAAACUUGAAAUCAGUGUCAAAUGUGUUAUAAGAAAGAAAUUAUUACAUUAUUGGUUACAUAACAAAUGGGCGCAAAUGCCCUGAACAGCGGGGACCCGGUUCGUUUCCCUGCAUAUCAUUCUCCUACUCCUCUCCACGAUCACUCACAAAAAAAAACUAUUUUGAUAAUUUUGUUAUUAGCUUCACUUAGAGCCACAUCCAUCCAAAUACAAUACAGAGAGGCACACAUGUUCAUGCAAAUACUGUACGCACGCACACACACACACACACACACACACACACACACACACACACACACACACACGAUGGAAGUCAGUGAUUUAGUGAUUCGAGGCAUUAGCCUGGCGAGCUUCUCUUGGCUUUGAUCUGCAUCUGUUUGGAUUCAGAGAGGACAAUAAGGCAGCAGAAAGCCCUUCAUCCUGAUUUCCAUUCCUAAUCCUCUAUCAUGCAGCAAUAUAAUCAAUAUGCACAUGUGCCUGCUGUACAAAUCUGACACACCCCGAACGCUCAGAUGUAUGUAGCAUGUAUGUAUGAACCACAACCUACAUACACACACAUAAACAAUUCUUUGCACUUCAGUCUCUCCACAUAAUAACUGUGAGAUGAGGGUGAAUCUGCACACACUUUUCUAUAUGUACUGCUGCAGUGGGUCUAAAGUGGACCUGCCUGCAUUUCAGCACGCUGACCUUUCAUCUGCCUUCACUCUCCUCCAUUUUUAUGAUGCAUCUUUCCUCUGAUGUAUGUGUGAAAGUGUGUCUCUGUGUGUGAACAAACACCUUUAUCUGAGUGUGUGCUCUUGUGCUUAUAGACGGAAUCGGAGUUUCGAGCUUCCGGUGGAAUCGCAAUGCAUGCUGGUGUGGCAAGCCUAGAAAAGUGAGCACCAACUCUACAAGGG